rnacentral:rRNA from 1 species
CCUACGGGGGGCAGCAGUGAGGAAUAGUGGUCAAUGGGCGUAAGCCUGAACCAGCCAAGUAGCGUGAGGGAUGAAGGUUCUAUGGAUUGUAAACCUCUUUUAUAAGGGAAUAAAGUGCGGGACGUGUACUGUUUUGCAUGUACCUUAUGAAUAAGGAUCGGCUAACUCCGUGCCAUCAGCCGCGGUAAUACGGAGGAUCCGAGCGUUAUCCGGAUUGAUUGGGUGUAAAGGGUGCGUAGGCGGCCUUGUAAGUCAGCGGUUAAAGUCUGUGGCUCAACCAGAUAAGUUCCGUUGAAACUGGGGGGCUUGAGUAUGUUUGCGGCAGGCGGAAUGAGUGGUGUAGCGGUGAAAUGCUUGGAUAUCACGCAGAACCCCGAUUGCGAAGGCAGCCUGCCAAGCCAUGACUGACGCUGAUGCUCGAAAGCGUGGGGAUCAAACAGGAUUAGAUACCCAAGUAGUC